rnacentral:rRNA from 1 species
UACGUAGGUGGCAAGCGUUGUCCGGAAUUAUUGGGCGUAAAGCGCGCGCAGGCGGUCCUUUAAGUCUGAUGUGAAAGCCCACGGCUCAACCGUGGAACUGCCUCAGAUACUGAUGGCCUCGAGGAAGGUAGGGGCAUGCGGAACUGUAGGUGGAGCGGUGAAAUGCGUUGAUAUCUACAGGAACUCCGGUGGCGAAAGCGGCGUGCUGGACCUUUUCUGACGCUGAGGCACGAAAGCUAGGGGAGCAAACGGG